UUUCAUACUGCUGUUGAUGAUGUGAAUUUUGGGAAUAUUCUUCCCUAUUGGGUCUUUCUCCAUGACAGAUGAUGUCCUUUAGCUUCGGUUUUCCAUCUAAGAACUGUUAAGUGGUGCUUGCUAGCUCUACUAAGAAUCCUUCCAUUGUUGCAAAUUUCAGAAAAAAGGCUGGAGUGCAGUGAUGCGCAUACCUCACACUGUGACACAGCGGGAGAGCCCAGAGCGACAGCUGUUGGAAUGACUGCACUCUUCCUGCUCAAGUCUGACCUUUCCAAGCCUUUGUCCUAUGUCUGGAGACUUCUUGGAAGCUGGAGCACACAAACAGCUACAGCAAACUUGAGGAAUGGGCAUGAAUAGACUGGCUUCGGGGAACUUGCCAGCUUGGCCAUGUGGCCAAGGUAAUAGGCAAGCCAAGGCAGAGCUAGAGCUCAGAGCUGGAGGGGAAAUUAAAGCAGCAAAUGUAGAAACAUUAAGCCUGAAGAGGUGACAACGUUGAAUUCUAAAAUGCAGACCAAAGCUCAGACUGCAAGCUGUCUGGCUGCUCCGGGUGUGCCCAGAAGUCAAAGUCCAGCAGGGGCAAAGGUGGAGGUGUGGUCCUGCAUAUGGGGUGUUGGAGGGAUGUGGAAGAGGAGGUGCUUUAAGAUCCAGAGAUCCCAGCUGCCCUGGUGCACCCUUGGAAGAAUAAAAGGCUAGGAACUGGACAAGUCAGGCUCAAGUCCAAGCUGCCUAAGGAAUCAGGGAAAGAAUGGAGCUCAGAGUGGGAGGUCAGGGCAGUAUCUAAAAAUCCAUUAUAGGAGCAAAGCUGGCGGUGGCCCCUGACUCUGGUAAAGGCAGCCUGCAGCAUCAUGCCACGGGGGGGCCUGACUGAUCACGCCUUGCAUUUGCAAACAAGGAUUAGUAGGGUAUGAGUAGGAUUCUGCUGGUGCCCGAGAAGGCAAUGCCAUCUACAUCUUUACAAAGUUUUAACAAAGGCCUGGAGGACACAACCUUCCUCAAAGUCCUGAUGUCGCUGUUUGCUGGCAACAAUUAGAGCCAAAAGAAGAGAGGCACAGAAUGUGCCAGGGGUGUGCUGCGUACAGUCCCGAUGACCACAAGGCCUUCUUGGGUCAAGUUCUGCCAUCUCUGGUUAAGAUGGGCUCACCCUCUAGCACCUUGAUUGAGUCCUCGGACCACCAAGAGUGCCCCACCAAGAGCCUCCCUCUUCUGGUGACUCAUGCCUGCUUCCCGUGGAGAGCUCCAGAAGGGAGGAAACUGUGAAGAGGUGGAGAACGUGGCAGGGAUCCUAACUUUCUUACUGAAGGAAGUUCUUAACAAGUACCCAUCUGCCUUCAGGGAAGAAAACAUAACUCAUUUUGGUCUUUCAAAUUCAGUUCUCAAAACCAAAUCCUGUUGUCAGCAAUCUGUGUCCCAACGCCUUCUUCAGCAACAGCAUUUUCCCUGUGGAAUUAGUUUCCAAUGUUCUUUCUUAAAUAAACCACUGAAGAUUGAAAGGAAUCCAGAUACCCACCACAUUUUGUUUCCUUAAUGAGUAAUUAUCACAUUUCUUUGGCUAUUUAAAUGCAUUCUCUGAGUCAGGUAAAGGAGAUCAUAAUAGUUAAUCAACAACAAGUAAUUCUUGGGUACUUAACAAUAGUCUAAGCACUUAAUCAUACUUAAAAUUGACUAUUAAUGAACCUUAUAAACCAUUUUGCAAUUCUGAAAGUGAAUUUCUCUGCAGGCUUAGAGAUUACUAAGCCAUUUAGAUCUUACCAAACAAAUAUUAUUCAUGCUUUAAUUCCUGGGAAAAGAGAUUUAGAAAAUGAGGUUAAUGUUCAGUUGUCCUUUCCUGAGUUUAACAAUUAUAUAUUCCAUCUGGGAUGCUCUGAACUCAGGUUAAACAUUCUUCAAGUUAUCCCCACAUUUUUCAAGUUAUUCCCACGUUAGUGACCUACUUUAUUAUUAUUAUUACUAAAGAAAAAGGCUGGGUGUGGUGGCCCACAUCUGUAAUCCCAGUGCUUUGGGAGGCUGAAGCAGGAGGAUCACUUGAGCUUGGGAGUUCAAGACCAGCCUGAGAGGGAGACUCUGUCUCUAC
rnacentral:lncRNA from 1 species